UCACCCGGAUUGCUGCUUCGACGGCUGUUUCCCUCUGGCUGCUCUGGAUUGAAACCCUGAGCCAGCAUGAGGCUGCAGGAGCUGGUGCUGGGUUUGGCCCGGGCUCGGAGGCAGCUGGCUGUGACCCGGUAAUGGAAACGCACCGGGCUGUGGGUCACGUAAAAUUAGCAGCAGGAGCCGCCGUCGGCCCGAGCAGAUAUAGUUAAUCUUGCACGGGUGACAGGCCGUUGCCCUAGUAGGUCGGGUGGUAACUGUAAAUCUCGGCGGGAGAGCGGCGCUCGGGGCCGCGGGAAGGCUUUGCCGGUGCAGCGGCCGAGCGAGCGACAGCCGGGCCCCGCGGGCGGCGUUUCCCGUGAAACCUUUUUGGUUUCCGCAGGGCGCAUAAGGUCACGCAAGGAAAUCAGUCAAUAGAGGCAUCCCUGGAAGGGCGCAGGAUUUCCCUUUGUCAUCCCAAGCGUUAAAAGUAGUGUUUUUCUUCAAAUACAGCCUUAGAAGUUAUUCGUUUUAAUUUGCUACCUCCUUGAAGGUGAAUUUAAUACCAUUCAUACAUUUUCAUUUACAAAUUUGUCAGUAAUAAGAGUGCUGGCACAUGGGAGAAAGUAGCUGCAUAAUUGCAACUUACACGCCUGUCUUGCUGAAAAACUGCUAGCUCAGGAGUUGUCCGCGCCUGUGCGCCAUGCAUGAAAUUGCAAAUAGAAUUUAAUUUGCCCUUGUAUCCUGUAGGAUCAGCUUAAAAUGAUUAAUGCAGGAAGGACUGUUGUCAAGAUUUUAUUCAUUACACUCUCAGAGGACUGCAGUGCAAAACCAUCAUGUAUAACAUGAUAAUGUAUAAUAUUCACCUCUUUCUGAACUCCUUUCCCGUAACAAACGUUCAUAUUUCUGCUCCCUAGCUCUGCUCCUGAAAGAAGCGGGAUUAAUCCCUUGCGUGACGCCGCGAUCUGCUGGACGGUGGGGAGAGUCGUCUGUUCGAGGGCAGAGCGCUGCAGGCGGUUCAGGUAGCCACGUUUCUGUGCACCUGAAAAGUGUUGAACUUGGGGAUUUUACUCUUCACUGUUGCAAAGCAAAACAAAAAUCACCUACAGUCACGGACAACCAAGAACAGGAAUAGCUUGGGAGUGAACAUUGCCCACAUACGAAUGAGCUAUAGAAUUGCAAAGCUAUAAACAAAAAAAUCCCCCCAAAUUCAUGGUCCUUUCAGUGAGAGCUGCUGUUCCCUAGCCGUGGCUUGCACAGGGAGCUGGGCGGGCGGGAUGCCGAUG
rnacentral:lncRNA from 1 species